CUCCCUCGAAUCUCGAUCGCUCUCUCCUCUCCCCUACCCUCAACCCCCCGAUCCACGCCGCCGCAACCCCCUCAACCGCCCGCAUCCCCGAUCCGUUCUCUCCCUCUUUCCUCCUUCCUCACCGUCGCUGCCGUCCUCCCCGGCACUCCCAUCCCUUUCUCCUCCAUGCCGCACCCCUCCCCAUCGUCGCAGCCGCCCCGUCGCCCCUGCUCGCCUGCAUCCACCACACCGCCUCCCUCCCCAGUCGAGACGGCGUUGCCUCCUCGCCCCCUCCGCAGCCAGAUUGACACCGCGCCGUUCAAUCCACCGCCUCAAGCACCAUGCAUCGUCGUCGUUGCAGGCGUCGGCACGGGCGCGGGCGCUGCCGAUCCCGAGUCGAGACGACGUCGUCCGCUGCUGCUUCUCCACCACUGACGGUUGCCCUGCGUAUAUCCUCCCUAUUAUCGCGGUCCCCAUCUGCUCCUGAAUCCUGAUCCACAAAAACAGCGGAGCGCCGUCGGCCUCUCUGCCUCCCUGCGACCACCAGUGGCAUCUGCCCCGCCGUCGGCUCUUCCUCACCCGCGACUCGCCGACGAUGGUGCUCCACAAACCAUUCAGGCCGUCACUGGUCUCCGGAGCGCCCGAGGCCGACGUGUCUCGCACUCCCUAUAAUCUUGCUUUGCUGCAUCAGUAACAACAUCAUAACAUAUCGUGGUUCAUACAAUGGAUCAGGCUGGUAAUUCGAUUCCAAUUCUUGCUCCUGAACUUUUUUAUUGGUGAUUCCCUCUAAUGUUCAGCAGAUUGGGUUUGGUGGUGGCAGUGCCGCACCACUGAUUUGUGUUAGACAUUGGUCCUUAUCCAACCCUCUAAUCUCUUGAUUAUGCUCACUUACGAUGACUUCAGCUCAGGUGGUUGCAAGAAACACUCCUAGACUGCUAUUUAGUUUUACGUUACAGGGAUUUGGCUACAGAUAGUUGCAAGCUGCAAUGUUCUGAUAUUUGUUAUGUUUUAGAGCAAGAUCUGCCUUAUAUAUAAUGUUAUAAUUAGGCUUCGAAUUUCUUGCUUAUGUUCUUUAAAAAUUCCAAGUAACCUUUUCAGUUCUUUCUGUCAGGUUAAUUGACAGAUCGAGUUGCACUUACACAUAUCUUGUUUUAGGAAAUGCUCCAAUGGCCCUUGAAUCCAGCAAAAUUGGUAGUUCCUCUCGUCCUCCAGGCACCAGCUAUAGACAAUAUCUAUACCUCAAGGAAGCCUCUUCAUGUUCCCCUCAAUAUUUCUUUCUGGGUGCAUGCACUCUAUGCUUGCUAUGCAAAACCCAAUGUAUGUGAAUGUGAUCCUUAUGCUGCAAAGGUGCUACUAUAAACACUUCGUUCUUUUAUCUAUUUAUUUAAACAUUCUUUGUUGGUGUCGGUGCAUUGCCUCUGAAUUUUAGAUCUUUUUUAGUGCAAAAUGCAUAUGAAUGUGUGGCAUUGAUAUUCCCUUGGAGAUGAAACAAGGUAUUCAGUGUUUGCAAAUUAACAUUUACGAGUAGGAUUUACCUAGCUAGCAUGGCCUCUUUCAUAGCCACUUUUGCAUGUAUGAAUCUUUGUAAAUUGUGGUCCUAUAGGCAAAUAGAAAGGUAAAAUUACGUGAUCAACUCGAGCUCUUUUUCAUAUUUGUGCCACUCAUAUUUGUCCUAAGUUUUAACUGUAUUUUAAUUUAAUCUUAAAUUCAGGCCAACUACUCUUGCGGAUGUUAUUUAAUAAAUUUGGAUGUGAUUGUACUGCAAGUUAAUCUAGAAAUUCAUUUCCCUGUUUUCAUAACAACAAAACUUUUAAAGAUGAUAUCCCUUUAUUGUCAUUCAAGUCAGCAUUAAGCUUGCUGGUUGAAAAUUUGAAGUUUUUUUAAUUCAUUCUGAAGUAUGAAGUAGUAUAGAACUUUCUGAUUUUCUAUUGGUGUUUAGCUCUUAAUUGUUGUUUUAUCUGAGAAUUCACUGCUGACUGCUAGCUUAACCAUCUCAAUAAAGCUGAUGAAGACAAGGUGCUCGAUAUUCAGACGAUAUUGGUCAAGUAUAACAUAUUUCAUAUUGACCAGUGAGAAGCAUCCGGAAGAAGUAAACGAAUGAGCAUUGAGUUCCAGAAAAUGGUGUAUAGUAUAGAUGGAAUUAUGAAAAGCAAUCAACCUCAUGUUUUAUGUAUAGUUUUUAUUAUUUUGUGAAAGGAUGGUAGUGUCAAUACGUAGAGUUUUUAUUAAUUUGUGAAAGGAUGGUAGUGUCAAUAUUUAGUUCCAGAAAAUGGUGUAUUGUAUAGUUGGAGUUAGCAAGAGUAAUCGUCUAGCUCAUGGUUUUGGGAAAGGAUUUUGGUGUUAACUAUUUUUUCGAUCAGAUUAUCAAAUUCAAAACUACAAGUAUUUUCACCCGAA